UUUAAAUACACCUGACCUGCGCCUCAGAUCAUACACGGUAUUUGAGGAAAUGUAAAAGACACCUUGUUCCCGUUUUUUUCCGAGCUCGGCUGUCGCUGAAGGACCUCUUACGAAGAAACUGUUCUACGGAACCCCAGGAAAUUAAGUACAACAAAGAAGACCCGUCGUGAGAGGAGAAUGCGGAAGAAAUGAGAAGUCUACGGGAGGUGGCAGCUGCAGAAGUUUGGAGUUGGAUUUGGAGUUAGGAGACCCGGAGGGGCCCAGCUUUCGGUUCAGACAGUUAUCUUGUUGACUUGCACGACUGCAAACGCCCUGAGCUACUUUUGCAUUCUGAAACAUCAGCGAUCCCAUCAAAAUACUCUGUUUCUUGGGAUGUAAGAAACAUCCCAAGGCGAGAUUUAGAGCGGGAGAUUUGGACUCGAUUUAAAUACAGACAAUAUAGUAUGCAUUUACUAACACCACAUCUCACCCCCACUAAACUUGGUAAGGGCAGCAACAGAACUUUCUGCCAUGUGCACUCCUGUAUUCCCAUUACCAAGUAGUGCCAGGGACUAAAUGAAUAUUUGCCCAAUGAAUGAGUUUUAAGGAGGAAA